UACGAAUGGGGCAAGCGUUGUUCGGAAUCACUGGGCUUAAAGCGUGCGCAGGCGGCCAAGCAAGUCAGGAGUGAAAUCCCCGGGCUCAACCCGGGAAUUGCUCUUGAAACUGCAUGGCUAGAAUCCCGGAGAGGUUGGCGGAAUUCCGAGUGUAGAGGUGAAAUUCGCAGAUAUUCGGAGGAACACCAGUGGCGUAAGCGGCCAACUGGACGGGCAUUGACGCUCAGGCACGAAAGCGUGGGUAGCAAACAGG
rnacentral:rRNA from 1 species